GCGAAGUGACUGGAAGUGGUUCCAAGAAAAGCCUCUAAGCUUCAGCUGUACGAGACCGUACCGCAAACCGACACAGGUGGACGGGAUGAAUAUUCCAAGGCGCUUGAGAGAACUCGGGAGAAGGAACUCGGCAAAUUGAUACCGUAACUUCGGGAGAAGGUAUACCCCGGUAGUGUGAGGCGCCUGCGCGCCGAGCAUGAUGGGGUCGCAGAGAAUCGGUGGCUGCGACUGUUUAUUAAAAACACAGCACUCUGCAAAGACGAAAGUCGACGUAUAGGGUGUGACGCCUGCCCGGUGCCGGAAGGUUAAGUGAUGGGGUGCAAGCUCUUGAUCGAAGCCCCGGUAAACGGCGGCCGUAACGAUAACGGUCCUAAGGUAGGAAAUUCCUUGUCGGGUAAGUUCCGACCUGCACGAAUGGCGUAACGAUGGCCACACUGUCUCCUCCCGAGACUCAGCGAAGUUGAAGUGUUUGUGAUGAUGCAAUCUACCCGCGGCUAGACGGAAAGACCCCAUGAACCUUUACUGUAGCUUUGCAUUGGACUGUGAACCGGCCUGUGUAGGAUAGGUGGGAGGCGCUGAAGCGUGGUCGCUAGAUCAUGUGGAGCCAACCUUGAAAUACCACCCUGGUUUGUUUGCGGUUCUAACCUUGGCCCGUUAUCCGGGUCGGGGACAGUGCAUGGUGGGCAGUUUGACUGGGGCGGUCUCCUCCCAAAGCGUAACGGAGGAGUUCGAAGGUACGCUAGGUACGGUCGGAAAUCGUGCUGAUAGUGCAAUGGCAUAAGCGUGCUUGACUGUGAGACUGACAAGUCGAACAGGUGCGAAAGCAGGACAUAGUGAUCCGGUGGUUCUGAAUGGAAGGGCCAUCGCUCAACGGAUAAAAGGUACUCUGGGGAUAACAGGCUGAUACCGCCCAAGAGUUCAUAUCGACGGCGGUGUUUGGCACCUCGAUGUCGGCUCAUCUCAUCCUGGGGCUGUAGCCGGUCCCAAGGGUAUGGCUGUUCGCCAUUUAAAGAGGUACGUGAGCUGGGUUUAAAACGUCGUGAGACAGUUUGGUCCCUAUCUGCCGUGGGCGUUGGAUACUUGACGGAGCCUGCUCCUAGUACGAGAGGACCGGAGUGGACGUACCUCUGGUGUACCGGUUGUCAUGCCAAUGGCAUUGCCGGGUAGCUAUGUACGGAAGAGAUAACCGCUGAAGGCAUCUAAGCGGGAAACUCGUCUGAAGAUUAGGUAUCCCGGGGCCUCGAGCCCCCUGAAGGGUCGUUCAAGACCAGGACGUUGAUAGGUCGGGUGUGGAAGCGCAGUAAUGCGUUAAGCUAACCGAUACUAAUUGCCCGUGAGGCUUGAUCCU
rnacentral:rRNA from 1 species